UUGACCUCGGAUCAGGUAGGAUUACCCGCUGAACUUAAGCAUAUCAAUAAGCGGAGGAAAAGAAACCAACAGGGAUUGCCCCAGUAACGGCGAGUGAAGCGGCAACAGCUCAAAUUUGAAAUCUGGCCCUCGGGUCCGAGUUGUAAUUUGGAGAGGAUGCUUUUGGCGCGGCGCCGUCCGAGUUCCUUGGAACAGGACGCCAUAGAGGGUGAGAGCCCCGUACGGGCGGCCGCCUAGCCUUUGUAAAGCUCCUUCGACGAGUCGAGUAGUUUGGGAAUGCUGCUCAAAAUGGGAGGUAAAUUUCUUCUAAAGCUAAAUACCGGCCAGAGACCGAUAGCGCACAAGUAGAGUGAUCGAAAGAUGAAAAGCACUUUGAAAAGAGGGUUAAAAAGUACGUGAAAUUGUUGAAAGGGAAGCGCCUGUGACCAGACUUGCGGCCCGUGGAUCAUCCGGUGUUCUUCACCGGUGCACUCCGCGGGCUGCAGGCCAGCAUCGGUUUUCCUAGGGGGAUAAAGGUCGCGGGAACGUAGCUCCCUCGGGAGUGUUAUAGCCCGUGGCGUCAUGCCUCUGGGGGGACCGAGGACCGCGCUUCGGCAAGGAUGCUGGCGUAAUGGUCACCGGCGACC
rnacentral:rRNA from 1 species